CCAGAAGGAAGGUUAGUAAUUCUGGGAGAUCCUUGAGUUGGGGCUCACUCAUACUGACAUGUUUGAUGCAUUAUGAAAAGCUGGAAGAGAUAGGAAGGAAACUGUUCCCUGGUUCUUCAUUUACUGAGACACCACUGGACACGUAUUUCUUAGAAUCCACGGAAUAAAGGAAAGUCACCCUGUGAAUCCUCUACCUGUGUCUCAGCCAUACUUUCCUUCAAAAUAUCCCAGUGCCCUCAAAGGUGCCGUGACAAUCAAGGGAUGAAAGAGAUGCCUCCGGAUACUCAUGCUGAUUAACCCUACUCACCUGAUUGAUUACUCCAUACAAUUUCUUGAGUUCACAGGACAUUCCCUUUGUCCUGGAAUGCCUUUCACCUUCCCAAGAGGAAUGCUACCUUCAAGGCCCACCAUAUGCUCUAUCUUUUACCUGUACAUAUUUGUCCAAGUUAAGUAUUUAUUGAAGGCCUACUAUGUGCAAUGCGAG